UAUACUGCUCUUUUUUUUCCCCCCUCCUCCAUCUUAUUGGUGUUUGCAGGGAUAAUAUGUAUAUACCCACUGGUUUCUGAGUCUGUUUGCCAUUCCUUUCUUCUUGAGUGGAAGAUGAGAACUGAAAAGUAAGAAGGCUAGACUCUUGUUUAACAAAUUAAAUGAAGGCAUUUAAUGUCACUUCAUUCCAAAAAUUCUUUUGGGACAGAACAACUAUUUCAUCACUUCCCAGAUAAUUGCUUUCUUCAAGAUUGCCACAGAAGCAAUAGAAAAUAUUAGAACUGUUGUUAGCUUGACCCGAGAAAGAAAAUUUGAGUUGAUGUAUGGAGAACAUUUGAUUGUACCAUACAGAAAUUCUGUGAAGAAGGCACAUAUAUUUGGCUUUACUUUUGCACUUUCACAAGCAAUGAUGUUCUUUACCUAUGCUGGCUGUUUCCGGUUUGGUGCCUAUCUAGUGGCAAAUGGACACAUGGAGUAUAAAAGUGUGUUUUUGUGAGUAUCACAUUUGCAAUAUUUUUCUGUCUAUCCAGAAAAAUCCUUUAUUAUUUAAGAGACA